ensembl:lncRNA
AGCAGGGGUUUUGCCAUAUUUCAAUGACUAGAAAGGGUAAGCCUGCAACAGUUAGGUAUGAAGGACAAAGUACUUGCAGCAGCCUUUGACAACUAAGGAAGAUCUAUCUUGGGGAUUAGUUUUAUCUUCUAAGUACCCGAGACAACCACAGUGCAUGGCACAGAAUGUACACAGAUGCACAUGGAAUGGAAAGGCAGUAGUGAUUUAUUUUAUCAUUAUUUAUUCACACACACACACACACACACACACCUAAGUAAUUAGGUACCUAUUAUGGUCACUUAAUGUAUUAAAGAAUAGAUCAUGGAGACAAACAGCAUUGUUUAAUCUCAAAUAUUUACCAACCCUAACUGUGCACCAAGGCCUCCUACAAUGUUAUGGAAAUUCAACAUGACUGUGUAAUUAUUCCUUCCCUCAAAAAUUUUUUUAAGGAGUUCCCGGUAAGAAAUGGGCUGGCCCAAUAGCAAUAACUAAGUAAUCUUUUUUAUUUUUAACUUUUGACAUUGUAUAGUUAAAAUAGGCUUCACAUCUAAUUCAUUCCAUUUUAUCUAAGAAGCGUCAGUCAUCUGAAAUGUGCCUCCCUAUGUUUUGUUUCUCUUUGGGGACAUCCCUAUGUUUUGUUUCUCUUAUCAUUUACACUGCUUGAAAGAUAGAACAUCAGUAUUUUCUUCUCCAAAGGCAUUCAAACAGUGGCUUCUCCUCAGCUCUAUAGUGAUGAAUACUGUUUGACAUCCAGUUGGAUGGUCUUCCUCAGCCUAUGAUUGUCGAUCCCUGAGAUUUUUAAAUGGAGUUAAUAAGGAGGAUAUUACCUUGCUAUCUAAGAGUUCCUCUCCCUGGAAUCAAAACUUCAAGUUCGAAAAGAAAACAAUCUAAAGGUGAAAUAGCCUUUUGUGUUGUAAAGAGCUCUAGAGUCUCAGGAGAUC